rnacentral:rRNA from 1 species
UGGGGAAUAUUGCACAAUGGGGGAAACCCUGAUGCAGCGACGCCGCGUGAGUGAUGAAGGCCUUCGGGUCGUAAAGCUCUGUCGUAUGGGACUAACAAAAUGAAGGUACCAUGCAAGAAAGGAUCGGCUAACUUCGUGCCAGCAGCCGCGGUAAGACGAGGGAUCCUAGCGUUGUUCGGAAUUAUUGGGCGUAAAGCGGGUGUAGGCGGACUUAUAAGUCAGGUGUGAAAUCCCAGGGCUCAACCCUGGAAGUGCACUUGAUACUGCAAGUCUUGAGUGUGGUAGAGGCUAUUAGAAUUCCACGUGUAGCAGUGAAAUGCGUAGAUAUGUGGAGGAACACCGAUGGCGAAGGCAGCCCCCUGGGUCAAGAUUGACGCUCAUGCACGAAAGCGUGGGGAGCAAACAGGAUUAGAUACCCCCGUAGUCCCUGAGCGGGCUGGCAAGGCGCAU